GUCUCUCUCUCUCUCACACACUCGCUCGGUGACUCACACGAGUCAGUCAGAAAGUUCCACACACACACACAUGGUCAGUUCGUACUCCGACGGCGGUAAAGUCACCAAGACUGCAAGUCGCGGGAAGACGGCGCGCGUGCUGCUGAUGGCCGUCCGGUGUUAUUGUUAUUACUCCUACACAAGAGCAAGGUGGUAGGGGAACACUGCAGAAGAGGGUGACACUUGCCCGACCAGAGAACAAGUUUCAGUACGAGAGUGGACAAGCAGGCGGCUGGAUCUUGAGACGAAGCUUGGCUGUGUGACGAUACUUUCUGACUCUUCUAUACGUUCAACAACCCCAAAAGAAUUACGUUGGAUGGCGGCGGCAGAGGAAACACAAGCGCCCACAACAGAUGAGCGACAAAAUCGACACACGACGAUCAGGAAGGAAACGCAGGUGCCUGCAAUCCGGCCAAAACGACUACUUCAGCAAUGACAUACGCGUUGGGACUGCACUUCACCUCAUAAUCGCUUGGCUAAGCGUCUUGUAACCUAACCACCAAUGCAGCUGACUGACCGCGGGAACCACAAAGAAAAUGGAGAACCUGCAGGAAAAAGUCUCGGCUCCAGCAGCAGUAACAAGAUGAUGCUUGGGUCGAGGUACAGCGAACAAGACAUUACCUACCAGAACCGACCGAUCUAUGGGUACCUACAAUUUUAUACGGAUAACUGCAUAAAUACGGCCAUAUUUUGCUAAUAUCAUUGUUUAAAUGUAACUCACAUCCAUCUUAAAUUACAUGAUGUAAUUUACCUGGCCUUACAAAACCAUAUUAUUCAAGGAUCAAAUGACACAGUAAUAUAACAACCAUAGAUCAAUUAGUCACGUUAAAUAUACGAAGUAGAAAGAUGACUGCUGGUUCUCAUAAAUGCGUGUCCUAGGCAUAUUAUUGAUUUAUUUAUUUAUUGUAUAUGAUUUUGCCUUUGCUUCUUUUGAGGAGACAAGAACGGUAAGACAGGUGUUUAAAACGGCUCAUAGACAUACCAUUUAAGCUAAAAACAUAAAGUUAAAUUCCUAAAAGAGAAUAGAACGGUUCACUGAAAGAUAAUCCCAAACAACGUAGGUUUGCGUAAGACGGGUUAUUUUUUAUAGUCUACUUUUAUCCAAAAAAUAUAUACUAUAUUAUUAAUAAGUGAAAGAAACGGAAACGAGUAUUUGUGACUGUAUUUUAAUUGUAAAAUUCUAGAUCUACAAUUUCAUCAAAAUUCGUUCAUUCAGAACUCCACGAUAGACACAUACGGACACAUCCCAACAACCCACGCCAAAUUAUUUUUAAAAAAUGUACAACAAAUGUGUAAUUACUGUGUGUAAGUAUACCAAUUUCAACAUAGACGUCGUCGCACGAGCGGCACCAAGAUGCGACCAUGCUUUGUUUGACGUGGAGAGAACUUGGUUUCGUAUGAACUGUAUGAAACGUCUUUGAAAAUGAAGUAAAUUAUGUUACAGUAAUUUCUGUCUCAAACUAGAACAGUAUGGCGCCAGUCCAAACCACAGAUCCGCCUUUAUAUGACGUUAAUACAUUAAAUGUUUAAAGAAAGAUAACAAUAUUUUGUCUGAAUGAAACUGCAUGUCGUAAUACACCAAUAUGGCUGUCACGCGAACUUCGAGGCGCCUUCGGUUUAUUCUUCUGGGCAAACAAGGUGUUAUAGCCAGCACGAUCUUGGCUUGUUUCUCGUUUUUACGGAAUAUAAGAACUAUAUGCACAGACUAAAAGGCGGGAAACGUCUACAGAAUAUGCUAAUGUGACCAGUACAAAUACAGAGGUACACAAACGGAGAUUCGAAACGAUCGAGUGAAAUAUCGCAAACAUAAAACAGCCAAAAUUUCUUUGAAGCAGCCACGUCAUUGUCCUGCAAGACGCAUAGAACAUUCGAGCAUCGUUGACACAAUGCUCUUACAAAAACAAAUUCAUAUCGGUCCCACGGCGUGGACAAAGAACUGGAUAUCUUAAAGACGUAAGAAUCUUAAGAGAGCUUCAUUUGCCUAUACAAAAUGAACCAAAUAUUCGAAUGUUGCAACCUAAUAAAUAUUGGCAAAAUCAUUUUUGUUGUUACUUGAAAAGUAUACAUUGUCAGCAAGGUCUUAAAACCGAAACGUGUUCGGAAACCUCAUUAAAGAUCGUUAAAUGUGA